rnacentral:rRNA from 1 species
AGUGAACGCUGGCGGUAGGCCUAACACAUGCAAGUCGAACGGCAGCACAGUAAGAGCUUGCUCUUACGGGUGGCGAGUGGCGGACGGGUGAGGAAUACAUCGGAAUCUACUUUUUCGUGGGGGAUAACGUAGGAAAACUUACGCUAAUACCGCAUACGACCUACGGGUGAAAGCAGGGGAUCUUCGGACCUUUCGCGAUUGAAUGAGCCGAUGUCGGAUUAGCUAGUUGGCGGGGUAAAGGCCCACCAAGGCGACGAUACGUAGCUGGUCUGAGAGGAUGAUCAGCCACACUGGAACUGAGACACGGUCCAGACUCCUACGGGAGGCAGCAGUGGGGAAUAUUGGACAAUGGGCGCAAGCCUGAUCCAGCAAUACCGCGUGGGUGAAGAAGGCCUUCGGGUUGUAAAGCCCUUUUGUUGGGAAAGAAAAGAAGCAGGUUAAUACCCCGCUGUUCUGACGGUACCCAAAGAAUAAGCACCGGCUAACUUCGUG